GUGUAUAGCUCAGUGGUAGAGCACUUGCCUAGCAUGUGCAAGAGCCUGGGUUCCAUCCCCAACAACACA
rnacentral:tRNA from 1 species